CCGGUAGAAGAACAGGUCAACUGUCACGUUCUGUGCAGCCGCUAAAAGUUCUCUCUUAGACACAAGGGGGCAGGUCUCUGGGAGGAGUCACAGAGUCCCGCCCCUAUCCUUCGGGACCCGACUGGCUAGGCUGCCUAGCAGAGAGCCGGCUCCAAAAGCAGAGCUGACAGUGGCCUGGUGGGCCGGUAGAGGACAGCACCAGUAAAGCAGCUGACAUUGGCCAGGUGUGUGAUUCCCCACUGCCCCUCACCUGCCAUGGCUGCAUCCGGAAAGAUGUCUCCGAGUCACUGCCUCCUCUAUCUUCUGGUACCUGAAUUUCUGGAGGGAAGAGUUCAGCCCCGGGGAGGUCAAGGGAACCCAAAGUUGUUCAUUUGCCAAGUGGCUACCACACUUCAAAGAAUGUUAAAGUUAAACCCUUGCAUAUACACAGAACAAUAGCAACUACUGUGUGCUAUGCUCCUGACAUUCAACCAACACGUCACCCCUGGAGCACACAGUAGGUAUUCAACACUGGUGAGAAGUGCCUAUCCGAAGUUACAUCCAUAUUCUCUCUCAGAUCAGAAGUCUCCCUGGGACCUUCUCUAACUCUCCAGGCGAAUAAAGGAACCCUUUGGCUACAGUCCCAGCUGCCCCAGGUGAGAUGCUGCAGACCACAGAGGCGUUGUGCGAAUUCACAGGACAGCGGCUGAGCUGGUGGCAAGCCCAAGAGUCCUGUGACCAGAGGUUUGGCCACUUGGCACUGGGGCCCCUAGAUAGGGCUCUCGCUUCACAUCUGCCUAGCUCGGUCUGGGUAGGACAAAGAGAGGCCUCAUUACGAAGUCAGCCGCAGAGGCGUGAGCACACCACGGCUGCGUUGGUCUUCCACAAGAGGACUGCUGACAGGACCACACAGCUGCCCACGGUACUGCCCGCGCUGGCGGCGUUCACGGCUUGCGUGCAUGUUCAGUGGGAUGAGACAGCAACUGAGGUGACCACUCUUCUCCCUGGCCACGCCGGCUGUGGCCAACGCACUGCAGCUGCGCACCUUCGUGGAACCCGGAGGCGGCCACCAUGUGCCCUUCAAUGCCAUCUUCCGAGCUGACAGUCGCUGGCACCACGUGUGUGCCACGUGGGAGCAGCGCAGCGGGCACUAGGAGCUGUUCACCGAUGGGAGGCAACGUGCAAGGGCUCAGGGACUAAGCACAGGCCACCCCGUGCCGACCUACGGUGUGCUUGUUCUGGGUCAGGAUCAGGACUCCCUGGGUGGCGGGUUCUCAGCCGCAACACCUUCAGUGGCAACCUUACUGACUUCUACCUGUGGGACCUGGUGCUGAGUCUCGAGCAAGUGCGCCGCGCUCGUGCCUGCACACACACCCCCGGGGGGGGGGGGUUGCCCUUUCAGUGGGACCCAGAGGCCCUGGACGUCACGCCCUCACUGUUGCCCACUGUGCUUGUGUGCCUGCUCUGUCCUGGUAAGACAUUGGCCGAGAUGCUAAAUCCUUCCCCUAGGUGGCCCGUUGAUUCUGGCCCCUCCCCAUCUAGCACCAGUAUCCAGCUCAGCCUUUGCUGGUUUGACCUCUUCCAAUUCUGGCCACUCCCUCUUCAGGGCCAGAAGCUUACUUAGCAUGGCCUUGCUCAGUUCUAGCUUCAGGGCCUCAUCUCCCUGAUCCCAACAUGCCCCAUGGUGGGGCGAUGCUGCAUGCUGCUUCCCAAUCAGGUGCAAGCACCUUUUGGGCCUGCAUAGGUAAAUAGCCAAGUUGUGGUCUUGACACUUUGCUACUCUGGCCAGUACCCUCAGAGGAGUGUCCCAUGUGGAGCCUAGGACCUGGCACCAAGGGCUUUGAACUCUGCAUGUACCUACAACUGUUCCUCUGCUGCUACUCAAAAGGUGUGCCUAGCUGUGCCAGAGCUCUGCUGAAUAGUAGAGAAGUUAGAGGGCAUUUAUAAUCUCCAGGUUUGAGGACCCAAUAGAUCUGGACAACAGGGCAGUCUGUCCAGACAGGCCUGGGGCAAAUCUCAGCUGUGUGACUUUGAAAAAGCGAUUCUGCCAUGUUGUGCCUCAGUUUCCCCAUCUACCAUGUUGUUUAAUAUUUCAGACAAUGUCACAGAUAUGCUUUUCCUCCCCAGAACAGUACUUUGAGGGUGGUCAUGGAACAGGCUGGCCCCUCCUUUGCCCAGGGUGCAACCUGGCCUCCACCUUUUGCAGAGACCUAUCAGCAGCUUCAGGGCUUCCAGUCAUGCCAGAUCAGGAUGUUACCAGCAGAGUCAAUGCUUUGGCCAGUGCCACUGUGAACCCCUGACAACUGGGAGCUUUUGACAAAUUUGAUCCACUAAGAAGACCCUGGCAGUGCUCAGCUGUGGAAUCUGGAGAGUUCCCUCCUGCCAGUUAUUCCUCUACCCAUAGCUCCUCCCAAGCCCCCUGUCUGAAACCCCGGGGAUUCUGUCCUUAGACAAGGCUUCCAGCUUCCUGGGUCUUCUGGAGAGAGUCCUGGCAGAGAAGCCAGGUCCACUGGGGCCUGUGACCCUGUUGGCUAUCCUGCACUUCCUGAAGAGGGUGGUUGCCCUCAGAGCUGAGGAGCCAGAGCUGCCGACCCAGCCCUGGGAGGAGCUUGGCAGACGCUUUGUAUCUGUGGCCAGCCUGACCUGGAGGAGCAAUCAGCCAGCGCGUGGCUGUCUAUCAGUGAGGUGGUUGGUGGGCCCAUGGCUCUGGUGAUGUGUGUGCAGUGCCUGGCAUCCCUGCUGAGUUCCACACUGACCUCUGUGCAGCCUCGAAUCCACUUCAAGCAUCAUCUUGGUGGUGAGCAGCCAUCCACUUCCACAGCGAAUCCCAGCUAUCCUUGCUCAGUGUGGUCCCUGAGAGAUCACUGUCUGUACUUCCGUGCACAUCACAAUAUUUCCUUUCUUUACCCAGGCUGUAUCUUCUGCCCACAAUGCCCUUUCUUCCUUGAUCUCCUAGCAAAUAUCUCCCCUUGGAGCCCUGCUUGGGUACCAACUCCCCAACACACACACACACACACACACACACACACACACACGAGUUCUCCUCAGUCUAACAUCUUGAACAUGUCCCUGCAUAAUAGGACUACCCCUCCUCCUCUUGAUGUCCCUAGGGUUCUAGGGCUGUUUGAACAGUCUCUGCACAGAGCAGACCCAAGUUCACAUUCAUCAAGUGCUUGGAGAUCGAUUUGGCGACUCUCACAGUAACCGUUAGCCACAGGUUCCUCCCACCCCCCAUGGUAAUACCCUUCCCUCAGGAAUCCAGGAAGCCAUUUUACCUUGGGUAGUGGCUCAGCCUCUCUGGGCUUGCAUGGUGGGUCCCUAGUCCUAUAGUGGGGAGAGGACAAGUCAGCCAUGGGCACCCCAGAAGAAAGCCCUCCCUCCUGAGAUCCGGCUGCUGCUCCAUCUGAUCCCAGGCCUGGAGGUGCAAAACCUGCACCUGCGGGAGGCCAGCACUGGAGGGCACACGUUCACCAUUCCUGCAGGGCAUCCAGAUGGACCAGACCACACCCACAUCCCUGCAGGGCAUCCAGAUGGACCAGACCAUACCCACAUCCCUGCAGGGCACCCAGAUGGACCAGACCACACCCACAUCCCUGCAGGGCACCCAGAUGGACCAGACCACACCCACAUCCCUGCAGGUGAAGUGAGGCGGCUCCCUGGGAGAGGCCUCGCUGAAGUCAUGGUCAUCCACACCUGGCUCACCUCAAGAGUCUUCCAGCAUACCCUGGGGGCAAGGCCACUAAUGGCUCAAAGGAGGCAAGGAUGCAGAGGUCCCUAAGCACCCAAGUGGGAUCAGCUAUACUCUCUCUAAGGUACGAGAUGCCGCCGGGAGCUCUACACAGCAGUGACCUUUCACCUGCAGCACCAGACCCAGGUCUUUCCACAGAAGAUUCUCCAGCCUGUCUGUGCUUUUUGGAAUUUCAGUGCCAACUCAGAUGCAGGGGGCUCCUGGGCCAUCACUGGCUGCUCAGUGCUCACUCUACACCCAGACUCUACCACCUGCCUCUGCAAGCACAGCACCAGCUUUGCCAUCCUGCUGCAGGUGCAUGACGUCCUGGUGAGCAGGGAGAAACAGGGUAACCGCAGCUGCAGAGGGAGGUAACUCGUGAGGCCAAGUCAUCCUGAGACCUUGCACUGGACACAUGGAGGGUGGGCCAGGGACCAAGGCCCAGCUGGACAUGGGCGUGGAGAGGAAGUGGUGGGAUGUCAGGUAGGGCUGUGUGGAACGAUUGGGUCUAGGACUGGGGUUCAGGAGGGUGUCCUGAUGAAGAAUUUGUGUAUAAAUCAUGAAUUCAGGUGAGUUUGAGAGGAAGCGGAGACUCAAUCAAGAGGGAAGCUGACUCCAGAGUAGACUAAGAAAGGGCUCCAAGGAGACAGAAAGGAACCCGGUGGUCAUUUGCUCCAAGGUCAAGUCGGUGCCUUAAGCAGACUCUGGGUCUGAAAGAGCCCUCGGGAAGGCGUACGUGCUUAUUUUCUGUGUCGCAUUAUAACCCAUCAGCAGCUUCGUCUUUAAUAGCAGUCUGUGAUCUUCACAGGUAUCGCCUGCCUCACAGGACAUCCCCCGGGGCUUGAGAGUGACUUCCAAUUCAGGGCUCUCUUAGGGAGACCCAGCAAGAGAGAGAUACAUUCAUUUAUUAAGCACCUACUGUGUGCAGGCCUAGUCCCUGGUGGUGGUACUAUUGCCAUCCUUGAUCCCCUAGGGAGACUUGCGGUCAGCAGGCAGGGUGAGUCUUGUGCCAAUAGGAUGAGGAUGGGCCCCUCACUGUCCUUCGCUGCAGGGAGGUCCUGAAGAGGAGUCGCUGCUGAGGACUCUGUUAUUUGUGGGCUGUGGUGUGUCCCUCUGUGCUCUUGCUACCACCUCCUUGCUCUUCGUGGUGGCUGGGUGAGGAAGUGUCCCACACUUGGGCUUGUCACCUCUUAGACUCUACAGCCAUCCCCAUGAGACUUUGGUCUGGGGCUUCCCUUAGGGUGAGCUGGGUCCCUUGCUGCCUACAUGAGGCCAGUCACCAGGAACCCCUCCACCCCCAAGGCCUGGCUGAAAGUGCGUGAGGCUGAUGGGGCUGUCCUUGUUAGCCAACCCUUCUGCCUAUACAGGGUUCCCGUGUCUGAACGGACCACAAUCCACAAGAUUUUCCCUGGCCUCUGCUGAGGCCUUCCUCAUGACCAGCGAGUGGGCAAAGAGCAACAAGGUGACCUGUGUGGUUGUCACAGCGGCCAUGCAUCUUCUCUUUCUGGUUGCCUUCUCCUGGAUGCUGGCAGAGGGACUGCUGCUUUGGAGCAAGGUGGUAGCCGUGAGCAUGCACCCAGGCCCCAGGAUGAGGCUGUACUAUACUGCAGGCUGGGGCAAAUACUUACAUCCUGGUCCAUGUUGUAAUGAUCACUCUAUCCAGCACCCACCGCCGUGCACGCAUGCUGAGCCCACAGCCUGACCUACAGCAGAAGAUCAAGUUCCAAAUGUGGUGAGGCUCAGCUAGGGGGGCAGGGUGAGAUUGGGGUACAGGGCCAGCUGGCACCUCACAUGAGCGUGGUGUAGUGUGAGCAUGUGAGUCUGUGUUGGGAUGUGUGGCCAAGUGUGAGCCUGUGUUAAGUAGUGAGUACACGUGUGACCUUGCUUACGAGACACCCAUGCUUGGGUAUGUCACGCUGUGUAAGACACUGGGGAUACCAGCCACUGCCCUGGGGCCUCACUAUCUGCAGAAGGUGCUGAGGGUCUGCCUGAGACAAGACAGGAGGAGUCCUCAAGUCAGGCCAUCCCCAGUUCAGGAUCAGAGUAAGGAUUCAGGUCUCUAGCUCUACCAAAGACCCUUCCCAUCCCCAGCACCAUGACUACUGGAGCACAAUGCUGUGACCUUCUUCCUAUAGCCCGGCCUUCUCUGUGGCCUUCCUCACUUGACCAGUCUCUGCUGCAGCAGAACCACUCAAACCAGCAAGUGCCUGAGAAGACAGGGAGGCCAGGCUGCUGGAGAGGGCUGCAGAGCCUUCCUGACUCACGCUCCCAUUCCCUGACCAGUUCUGGGCAGCUGCCUCGCCUUUGCAAACUAGACUUGGGAACGAAUGAAAUCUUAUCUCCCAGUACCACCACCCCUACUAAGAAGGAAGCAAGCUCCACCCAAGGGCUUUGCAGAGCCUUCUCCCAAUCUGCAGUUGCAGACAUCCCCCCCCUACCCCCACCCCCGCCGUGUACUUCCUGGGUACUGCAGCAUCCAUCAGAGACCAGGGAAUCACACUGGCCCCUUAGCUCUGCUUCCUUUCCCCAAAGGGCCAUGGUGAAACCUGUGCUGGCCCUGUUACCUGUCCUGGGCCUGACCUGGCUGUUUGGCCUUCCUGGUACACAUUAGCCCAAUCUGGGCCUACGCUGCUGUGUUUCUCAAUUCCUUCCAGGUAUUUUUAGGCCCUGAACACAUAGAAUGGGGGCUCUGGAACAUUGGAACUCAGAGAGGAUGUGUGGUUUGCCAAGACUAAGCAGGAGGGCCCAUACAUCUUCCUUGUCUACGCUGCUUACAAUGGAGAGGUGCAGAACACACUACGGAGGAUGACAGAGAAGAAGGCAGCCGAGGUGCUCAGGGCAGAGCAGGUGCACCUGGCCAAGGGUGAGGGGGCCCUGGGGCCAGAUGGACAGGGCCAAGCACAACACCUCUUCUUUCAGACACUCUCUGGCCCUUGUGACCUACAGGCUUCAUGUCCCUGGGUCAUGGCCCAGGAGAAUGCCCGAGUCUGGGAUUCUCAGAGAAGAUCUGUUGCUCUGAGAGGUACAAUCUCUAUCUCCAUGCCUAGUGUUUCCUGCUGCCUUGAUUUCUCCAUCACUCAGCCAGAGCUAGGAGAACAGCAGCAGACUCUAUAAGCCUACUAGAAAGACAAAGAAACUGAGACCUUGGAGAACAGUUGGGUGACCAACCAGAGGUGGGGUCUACUUAGAACUCCUGUCUAGGGUUCCUAGCCCAGGGUAGGGGGGUAAGGAGAGGAAGUGUGCCUGAGCCCCUGAUACGAGAGCUGGGUGGGCCUCAAUUUCCUCACCACUAAUCUGAGAGUAAAGUUCUGAGCAGAUUUUUAGGGUGUCUGAUAGUGGGGGUCCAAUGUCUUAGCCUGUGCACAGUUCACCAAAUAUUUCCCCCUUUUAGGGACCCAUAGACCCAGGAUUCCCUCAGCCUUCUCUUCCAUUACAGAACCCAGAAGACCCAUAAGGCUAGAUAGAACAAGGGACCAGCUAGUGUAAUGGCAGGGUUGGGGACACAGCAAAGGCUAGGACAAGGUUGGUGAGCACUGACUGCAGGGACCUUGUCCUCUGCACUGGAAAGCUAGAGCUGUAGGCUGACAGACCUAAAAGCCAAGGCCUCUUGGGAAGGGCCAGGAGCUCCCAGGGGACAGGGGACAGGAAAAGGGACCUAUCUUUCCUGUUCUCUUUUUUAGGCUGUGGAGCUGACAGUGUUUAAGACUUCAGGUACUUCUCUUCCUGGGCAGACUCCCUCAUCCCUCCACUCCCACACUGCUCCAAGAUGAAAAUAAUUUGAGACUCAACCAUACAAGAACCAAUCUUAGAUCAGCGCUGCCUAGUCUCAAACUAUACCCAUGGCUGGCUGAAAGAGAGGCCUGUUUUUGGAACUCUUGCUGGGAUUAGGCUCAGUGCCCAACCCCAGGCCGGUGCUGAUUCUGGUCCACCAGUCAGGGGAGGCUGCUUUCCUCGAAGUGUGCAGAGGAGGCCAAGCAUCCAGAGGAGCUGCGACUAAGGCAGCCAGUGGCGUAGCAGGAACCAGGCUUACCUGUACAGAUGCGGCAUCUGAGAUGUAGCAAUAGUCAUAGGGGUGUGAUCCACAGACCAAGGUUUGUGGCAGGCAGCCUUGAAUGUUCAGCUUCUGGUCCGCUAAAAGGGGCCGAAGCGCCCCCUGCAGGCAGAUCAGGGGCGCAGGGCUAGGCAAGAUCAGAGCGCGCAGCUGCCCCUCACCCGACAGGCCCAACCCCCCCCUCCACCCCGCCCCCACCCGCAAGCACAACCGUCUGCGAGAACAAGAGCCACUGCAGCGCCUCUGUGCCUUUGUCUCUGCUGAAUGGGUGCGUUGCUAGGGCUGCUCGU